GUCCCUGGAGCAGUGGGAGCUGCCGCUGGCCCCAGGCACUGUCCUGUGAGGAGCUGCUGAAGGACGCUGAGACUGAGGGGGCUGAGGAGGCGCUGAUGCUGAAGGGACCUUGCAAACCUUGAGCUGUCCUGAAGAGCUUGAGGACAGGCAGACACUGAGAGGAGCCAGCAGGGAGAAGCUGAAGGCCUGGAGCAAGAGCAGUGAGCAGGGAUGUGCUGGGGCCACGCGAGAGCCUGGAUGUCCCAUCUGCUGUCCCUGUCCAGGAGAGCUGCUCUGCAUGGCAGGAAAAGACUGAGGGAGAGGCUUUGAAGAUGGGGCGGCUGAUUUGUUCUUAUGCAGUUGUAUGGAUAUUUAGAUUGGGACAGUGACAUUUGUAUCUUUUCAAAUAGUUUUGUUUUAUAUAUCUAUAUGUAUAUGUAUUUUAUAAAAUAUGUAAUAUUUAAUCUGUAUUUCCAUCUGUAGAUUGUUCUAUAUGUAUAUCUAGAGGUAUUUAGUUCUAUUU